AUUGAACGCUGGCGGCAGGCCUAACACAUGCAAGUCGAACGAGUGGCGGACGGGUGUGUAAUGUCUGGGAAACUGCCUGAUGGAGGGGGAUAACUACUGGAACCGGUAGCUAAUACCGCAUACCAUCAGAUGUGCCCAGAUGGGAUUAGCUUGGUGGUGGGGUAACGGCUCACAAAGGCGACGAUCCCUAGCUGGUCUGAGAGGAUGACCAGCCACACUGGAACUGAGACACGGUCCAGACUCCUACGGGAGGCAGCAGUGGGGAAUAUUGCACAAGGGGCGCAAGCCUGAUGCAGCCAGGCCGCGUGUAGGAAGAAGGCCUUCGGGUUGUAAAGUACUUUCAGCGGGGAGGCGUUACCCGCAGAGUAAGCACCGGCUAACUCCGUGCCAGCAGCCGCGGUAAUUC
rnacentral:rRNA from 1 species